GGUGUGAAUUGCAGAAUCCCGUGAACCAUCGAGUCUUUGAACGCAAGUUGCGCCCGAGGCCACCACGGCCGAGGGCACGUCUGUCUGGGCGUCGCAUACAGCGUCACCCAACACCUCGCCCUCGAGCGAAGGUGUCGGUGGAGUAUGGCCUCCCGUGUCGUCGGUCUCGACGCGGUUGGCCCAAAUGGGAAGCUCGGGGCAACGGAUGCCGUGACAAUGGGUGGUCCGCGAGGCCGAAAGGCACGGUCACGACGUCUUGUCACUGCAUGGUUUCCCGCCGCUUGUUUCGAUCCCGUUCCGCCGCCAUGGCGGGAUACAAGGCGACCCCAGAUCAGGCGGGGUUACCC
rnacentral:rRNA from 1 species